CGGCUCAGUAACACGUGGAUAACCUACCCUCAGAUCUGGGAUAACUCCGGGAAACUGGAGAUAAUACCGGAUAAUCCGUGAACGCUGGAAUGCCUUACGGUUGAAAGCUUUAGCGUCUGAGGAUGGGUCUGCGGCCGAUUAGGUAGUUGCUGGGGUAACGUCCCAACAAGCCGAUAAUCGGUACGGGUUGUGAGAGCAAGAGCCCGGAGAUGGAUUCUGAGACACGAAUCCAGGUCCUACGGGGCGCAGCAGGCGCGAAAACUUUACACUGCGCGAAAGCGCGAUAAGGGGACCUCGAGUGCGUGCGCAAAGCGUACGCUUUUCAGAUGCCUAAAAAGCAUCUGGAAUAAGGGCCGGGCAAGACCGGUGCCAGCCGCCGCGGUAACACCGGCGGCUCAAGUGGUGGCCGCUAUUAUUGGGCUUAAAGGGUCCGUAGCCGGACCAGUUAGUCCCUUGGGAAAUCUUACGGCUUAACCGUAAGGCUGCCAAUGGAUACUGCUGGUCUUGGGACCGGGAGAGGCAAGAGGUACCUCAGGGGUAGGAGUGAAAUCCUGUAAUCCUUGAGGGACCGCCAGUGGCGAAGGCGUCUUGCUAGAACGGGUCCGACGGUGAGGGACGAAAGCUAGGGGCACGAACCGGAUUAGAUACCCGGGUAGUCCU
rnacentral:rRNA from 1 species